rnacentral:rRNA from 1 species
GCUCACAAAGCUAGCUAAUUAACCCUCACCAACCAACACCACAACAACAUCAAAUCAUUCUACCCUAACGUAAAGUAUAUGAGAUAGAACACCAAAUUAACGCAAUAGCAUUGAGUACCGCAAGGGAAACAUGAAAGAAAAAUGAAAAAUAAAAGCCAAAAAAGCAGAGAUAAGCCCUCGUACCUCUUGCAUUAUGAUUUAGCAAGCAUAGCUAGAUAAAGAGAACUUCAACCUAGCCACCCGAAUCCAGUCGAGCUACCUUAAGACAACUACAAGAGUCAACCCGUCUCUGUGGCAAAAGAGUGGGAAGAUCUUAAGGUCAGAGGUGAAAAGCCAACCGAGUCUGGCGAUAGCUGGUUGCUCAAUAAAUGAACUUAAGUUCAACUCUAGAUUGUUACACCUACACAAUGUUAGCACCCGCUCAACCUAGAAGAUAUACAAUAAGGGUACAGCCUUAUUGUACUCGGAUAAAGCCGAAAGCAGAGACCAAACAUCCAAACAUUGAUCACCAGUAGGCCUUAAAUCAGCCACCAAAAACAAACACGUCACAGUAUUUCCACAAAACAAUCCCAACAUUUACUAUUACCUCCUGCCAUCACACUGAGCCAUCCUACCCACCAUAGGAGAACCAAUGCUAAAACUAGUAAUAAGAACCCGCUUCUCAUGGGCACACCCAUAAGCCAGAACUGAUACACAACUGGCAAUUAACAGACUGACAACCAGACCACCUACCCCUCCCACACUGUCACCCCAACACAGGUGUGCCCCACAGAUAAAUUUAAAGCUAUAAAAGGAACUCGGCUAACAUGCCCCAACUGUUUACCAAAAACAUAGCCUUUAGCCCACCAAGUAUUAAAGGUCAUGCCUGCCCAGUGAAAUUUCAACGGCCGCGGUAUCCUAACCGUGCAAAGGUAGCAUAAUCACUUGUCUUCUAAAUAAAGACCCGUAUGAACGGCUAAAUGAGGGCCUAACUGUCUCCUAUAGCUAAUUAAUGAAACUAAUCCCCCAGUACAAAAGCUGGGAUAACCCCAUAAGACGAGAAGACCCUGUGGAGCUUAAAUUAACAUGCUAACACCAAUCUACCCCACCCCAUGCCAUAGCACCUAAUUUUAGUUGGGGCAACUGUGAAAUCAAAAAGAACUUUCACAAUACGGACACCCGCACCUAGGCCUACACGCCCAAGUAGUAAUAUAGUAGACCCAGUAAAACUGAUCAACGAACCAAGUUACCCCAGGGAUAACAGCGCAAUCCCCUUUCAGAGUCCAUAUCGCCAAGGGGGCUUACGACCUCGAUGUUGGAUCAGGACACCCAAAUAGUGCAGCCGCUAUUAAUGGUUCGUUUGUUCAACGAUUAACAGUCCUACGUGAUCUGAGUUCAGACCGGAGCAAUCCAGGUCGGUUUCUAUCUAUGACCAACUCUUCUUCAGUACGAAAGGACCAAGAAGACAAGACCCCUGUCGCAGAUAAGUCUUGCCACUAACUGACAUAAAACUCAAAAUAGGUAUAACACACUAGCCCCGAGAUCAGGGGCUAUU